UACGGAGGUCUCAAGCGUUGUUCGGAUUCAUUGGGCGUAAAGGGUGCGUAGGCGGCGGGGUAAGUCAGGUGUGAAAUCUCGGGGCUCAACCCCGAAACUGCACUUGAUACUGCCUCGCUUGAGUACUGGAGAGGAGACUGGAAUUUACGGUGUAGCAGUGAAAUGCGUAGAUAUCGUAAGGAAGACCAGUGGCGAAGGCGAGUCUCUGGACAGUUACUGACGCUGAGGCACGAAGGCCAGGGGAGCAAACGGG
rnacentral:rRNA from 1 species